CUGCGGUUCCGGCAGCGCGCGAGGGUCAAGGUUGCCAGCGUGUGGUGAGAGCGCGGGAGAACACCGGUAGGAAUACAUCCGACAGGGGUUGAUGAGGUCAGCCUCAGUUGUUACUGGCCGUCUUGCCACCCUGUGGGGAGAGUUUGACAGAGCAAUGGAAGAGCCAAGAAGUGAACAAGAGAUUGAAAUCCGAUGCCAUCACUUGAGCCCUGGUGGUAGACAUGCCUGAAGCCAUUUUUUAUUUUCCUUUUUCAGAAACAACUGGACAAAUAUGUCAAUCCCAUGGGAAGAACAGCUAAAGAAAAUCUGGCUAAAUUCAUGCUUAGCCUACAAGAUAUCAGGAAAACAGCAACAGUCUUUCACUGAUAUUACUGAAACUGAGUCCCCGACCUUAUCACUUGUAUAUUGUCUAAAUGUGUAGUAAAAAAUGA